rnacentral:antisense_RNA from 1 species
GUCAGACGUAGCGCUCAUUCGUGUCAUGACUGAGUCGCGUUUCUGGCUUCAAGGAAGAAGGACGCGUCGCCGCCACCCUAGAGGCGGCAUCCCCCGCGUGACGCCCUCUCAGGCCCGUCGUGACCGGAUUCCUUGUUUAUCGGUGCGGUUUAUCGGUACGUGCACGGCACGUGCGUGCCUUACGGCCGAUCACGUCGCCGAGGUAUAGCGAUAGGACAGCAGUGAUUUCACCAGGAAGGUGAUCUGGGUGGCCGAGCGCGCAUCCACGCGCAUCACCGGGAUGCGGAAGCCUUCGGCCACCAGUGCCUCGCGGAAC